rnacentral:rRNA from 1 species
GACGAACGCUGGCGGCGUGCUUAACACAUGCAAGUCGAACGAAGUGGCGAACGGGUGAGUAAUACGUGGGUAACCUGCCCUCCUUUUUGGGAUAAGCCUUGGAAACGGGGUCUAAUUCCGACUACAUGGGGAUGGGCUCGCGGCCUAUCGGUUUGUUGGUGGGGUGCUGGCCUACCAAGGCGGUGACGGGUAGCCGGCCUGACGGGGUGACCGGCAACAGUGGGACGGGCAUACGGCCCAGACUACUACGGGGGGCAGCAGUGUGGGCUAUUGCACAAAGGGCGAAAGCCUGAUGCAGCGACGCCGCGGGGGGGAUGAAGGCUUUCGGGUUGUAAACCUCUUUCGCAAGCGAACGGGUAGGUGGAGAAGAAGCGCCGGCUAACUACGUGCCAGCAGCCGCGGUAAUUC